GUGGUUUUCCCCUUCAUUGGAAUGUUGUGCAGGUUGUGUCUAGCAGCAAUGCAUCACAACGAGAAUGCUGGGCGUGACCAAGCGACAACUGCUGCAGGAAAACUUGUCUUCAAAUUGGCUUAUCCAAAAUCAAAGAGGGGAGAGUGUACGGUCAAGUCUGUUAAGAACGACCCUACAUACAUCUAUGUGGAUGAGCUGACGAAGCUUGUGUUUCACAAAGUCUUUCUGGACCCUACACCCUUUGUGGA